UACGGAGGGUGCAAGCGUUACUCGGAAUCACUGGGCGUAAAGCGCGCGCAGGCGGUUUUUUAAGUUGGAUGUGAAAUCCUAUAGCUUAACUAUAGAACUGCAUCCAAAACUAUUAGACUAGAGUCUGGGAGAGGUAAGUGGAAUUAGUUGUGUAGGGGUAAAAUCCGUAGAGAUAACUAGGAAUACCAAAAGCGAAGGCAACUUACUGGAAUAGUACUGACGCUGAGGCGCGAAAGCGUGGGGAGCAAACAGGAUUAGAAACCCGAGUAGUCC
rnacentral:rRNA from 1 species